rnacentral:rRNA from 1 species
ACGUAGGGGGCGAGCGUUGUCCGGAAUUACUGGGCGUAAAGGGUGCGUAGGCGGUUUGGUAAGUUGGAUGUGAAAUACCCGGGCUUAACUUGGGGGCUGCAUCCAAUACUGUCGGACUUGAGUGCAGGAGAGGAAAGCGGAAUUCCUAGUGUAGCGGUGAAAUGCGUAGAUAUUAGGAGGAGCACCGGUGGCGAAGGCGGCUUUCUGGACUGUAACUGACGCUGAGGCACGAAAGCGUGGGGAGCAAACAG